rnacentral:misc_RNA from 1 species
GGAAAACGGAGAAAGGGUUUGGACUUUGGAGGCUCUUGAUUUGUGAAGUUUUUGUUUGAUUCGGCAUGUCUGGUGAAGAGGAAGAAAAUGCUGCUGAGCUCAAAAUUGGAGAUGAGUUUUUGAAGGCCAAGUGCUUGAUGAAUUGUGAAGUAGCAUUAAUUCUUGAACAUAAAUACGAGCAGCUUCAGCAGAUGUCUGAUGAUCCGAUGAACCAAGUCUCUCAGGUAUUUGAGAAGUCACUACAGUAUGUCAAGCGGUUUAGCCGUUAUAAAAAUCCUGAUGCUGU